AACGAACGCUGGCGGCAUGCCUAACACAUGCAAGUCGAACGAGACCUUCGGGUCUAGUGGCGCACGGGUGCGUAACGCGUGGGAACCUGCCUUUAGGUUCGGAAUAACUCAGAGAAAUUUGAGCUAAUACCGGAUAAUGUCUUCGGACCAAAGAUUUAUCGCCUUUAGAUGGGCCCGCGUUGGAUUAGCUAGUUGGUGGGGUAAAGGCCUACCAAGGCGACGAUCCAUAGCUGGUCUGAGAGGAUGAUCAGCCACACUGGGACUGAGACACGGCCCAGACUCCUACGGGAGGCAGCAGUGGGGAAUAUUGGACAAUGGGCGAAAGCCUGAUCCAGCAAUGCCGCGUGAGUGAUGAAGGCCUUAGGUUGUAAAGCUCUUUACCCGUAGAUGAUAAUGACAGUAUCGGGAGAAUAAAGCUCCGGCUAACUCCGUGCCAGCAGCCGCGGUAAAGUGACUACUG
rnacentral:rRNA from 1 species